AACGAACGCUGGCGGCAGGCCUAACACAUGCAAGUCGAGCGCCCCGCAAGGGGAGCGGCGGACGGGUGAGUAACGCGUGGGAAUAUGCCCUUUGCUACGGAAUAGUCUCGGGAAACUGGGGGUAAUACCGUAUACGCCCUUUGGGGGAAAGAUUUAUCGGCGAAGGAUUAGCCCGCGUUGGAUUAGGUAGUUGGUGGGGUAAUGGCCUACCAAGCCGACGAUCCAUAGCUGGUUUGAGAGGAUGAUCAGCCACACUGGGACUGAGACACGGCCCAGACUCCUACGGGAAGCAGCAGUGGGGAAUCUUAGACAAUGGGGGCAACCCUGAUCGAGCCAUGCCGCGUGAGUGAUGAAGGCCUUAGGGUUGUAAAGCUCUUUCAGCUGGGAAGAUAAUGACGGUACCAGCAGAAGAAGCCCCGGCUAACUCCGUG
rnacentral:rRNA from 1 species